rnacentral:tRNA from 1 species
GGUGGCUCAGUGGUAGAGCGCAUGCCUUGCAUGCAUGAGGCCCUGGGUUCAUUCCUCAGCACCA